GUGCCAGCAGCCGCGGUAAUACGUAGGGUGCGAGCGUUAAUCGGAAUUACUGGGCGUAAAGCGUGCGCAGGCGGUUGUGUAAGACAGGUGUGAAAUCCCCGGGCUUAACCUGGGAACUGCGCUUGUGACUGCACGGCUAGAGUACGGCAGAGGGGGGUGGAAUUCCACGUGUAGCAGUGAAAUGCGUAGAUAUGUGGAGGAACACCGAUGGCGAAGGCAGCCCCCUGGGCCGAUACUGACGCUCAUGCACGAAAGCGUGGGGAGCAAACAGGAUUAGAUACCCCUGUAGUCC
rnacentral:rRNA from 1 species